GCGACGUGAAGCCUGCACCGGCCGACGUGGACGUGUGCGGCUGCGAGUGCAGCUGAGACCGCACAAAGCCGGUGCCCGUGCCCGAUGGGGAGGCCGCCGACGCCUUCCGUAGGAGCGCGGUCUGGAAAACACGGGCCCUGCCCUAGAACCAGGACAGCGCCACCACAACAGGGCGUCGCACCUGGCGCAAGUAGCUGUGUUUGCCAAGGCCACGAGUGUCGCUGCCACCCUUGUGCACACAGUAAAUCUUGAUUUUGGCCCUGCCGAGACUAAAAACAGCGACUGCCAGGGUCCUGUAUGCUUGAGCUUUUGUCUGCUGCCAUAACAACAGCCAACCCUCGGUAGGAUCUCAGUGUAGUGCAAUCAGCAAGUGCUAGGAGUGAAAUCUUGCAGAUAGUUUAUAGUUAUAACAAGCUUUUCUUUGAAAAAAUUAUACCAUAGUUUGAGACACCCGGUCACUUUGUUUUAGAUUUCUUCGUGCACUGUGAGUCAAUAUCACAUCUAACAAUGCAAUCUGUUGAUGCAUCAAAAAGAAAAUAUUUUGAGAGUAUGGCAUAAGGGCACCUAACUCCCAAUUGCAACAGCAGAGUGCCUGGUGAUGUCCACUUUUUUUUACACUAUUGCAUUUCAGUGAACAUGUCCUCAUUUUAUUGCACACUCUAGAGCAUUGUAAUGAUCCUUAAAAGGUUGAGGAUAAGAAAAAAACUGAUAGCUUUGCACAUCAGGUAACGAAAAAAAAAGAUUAAAAUCCUUCCCUUGAUGAACUGAUCAAGAAGUGCAAAUUGUAACAGCUGAAGAACAAGCAAGAAAAGGGGCCCCAACUGCAGUAAGUGGAUGACAUGGCAACAUGCGAUGAAGUAUCAAUCAUCUGAGCAACCCUACAGAUUGGUUUUGCAGUGAUACACUUAACGCUACAGAGAUAAGCCGACAUUCCUAAAAAAUCAGGCUCCUCUUCAUCCAUAUUAAACUGCUCACGAACAACAUUUGCAAUCAACAUCACAAAAAAUGCAAAGUGAUGCCAGAUUUAUGCCAUUUGCUCUUCUCUUGAGUGGAAGUUGAUUAAAAACACACACUAGAUGUCUGACCAUUUGAUAUUUACAGCAUGAAAGGUACAGUCUGCAAAUGAAUAAAGACCAACGCACAACACUUAUUAGGACUAGUUAUUCGGAGGUUUAUUCCUCCCAUGUUAUUUAUAGAAAUAUAGCCAUCACCUCCACUGAAACAGUUCCAUAUGCUUUCCACAUUACUUUUAUGGAACGAAUAUCGAUUCCAUAGCAAAUAUUCAUAAAAUCUAUAAGUAUCAUAUGGAAAACAUACAGAAUCAGUGGACCACUUGUGGAAUGUUUCAGUAGGGAUGCUUGCACAGGAUAUUUGGCCCCAGUUAUUACUCCAAUAGUUCGAACUCUGCAAGGCAUCACUUUGCAUUUCUUUAUUUUGUUGCAAGUGAUUCUUAGGACACAUAAAUGCUGAGAGGGAUUAGAUAAGAUUCAAGGUGAUGUAAAUGCCUGCUAGAACAAGUACACAUGCCUAGGGUUAAACAUGAAGUGAGAUACAUCAGCCAACUGACAGAAGAUGGGACAGACACUUUUUUUUGUCAUUAUGAAUAAAAGCCCAUUGUACACCCAACACCGCAAAAAUGUCAGUUGUGAGUAAUGGGGUUAAACGUCCCAAAGAAACUUGCAAGUUAUGAGCACCUGAAGGACUGUGGCGAUUGUUAAAAAAUCUGCAGGGAAGGACAAAAAGUCUGGUGUUAAAUUCUAGGCUCCCACUGCAUAUAUACAAAAGUAGUAAUUGGGUAAGGUGUUAAUGAUAGCGUUAACUAGUGACUGAGUAGAUUUGUAGAAAAUGCUCGAAGUGUUACAAGGCCUAAGUGGCAAGUAUUUAUAAUGUUGCAAAAAAAAUAAUGCCUCACAUAUAUCUAAAUGUAGUUCACUGAGUUCCCCGAAAUAGUUCCUAAAUGUGCCCAUGUAUACAAACAUCAUGGCAGUUCUGAAAUUCAGGUCUACACAUAUACAUGCAUAUAUGCAGUGGAGGGUUUAUGUGAGGGUUUAUAUCAAUGAAUAACGCAAGUUUCCGCACUUUAAUCACAAAUUCCUGUAAUGUAUCAUGCAUUCAACAGUCAUUUGAAAGCCUGUUACAAUUUUACCAGGCUGUUUAACAAGCAGAUGCUCAAACGUUGUUUCCAUCUUUUGUCAUUGGACAAUGUAGUAUCACUUUCAUGCCACUAUUUCAAAACACGGAGACAAAGCAGCUUGUUUAGAAACACUGCUACAAGACACAUCAACCUCAUUACGAUUAGGAGCUGUUUAUGCUAGAUUAUAUGUAACAAGCAGUGAACUUCCUAGCGUACUCAAUUACUUGCUCCAAUUAAAGUUAUGCUGAGCACGAUAAACUGCCACAAUCUUGUGCUGUUCAAAACAUGUGAAGAGGGCUUUUCUGUACUGUCAUAUACAUUAUAAACAACAAUAGAAGUAAUGUGUGUGAACUGCAUGUCACUGUAUCUGUGGGUCAAACAAAAUGAGCACAGCAAUGAGUAUACCCAUUAAAAGUAUGCGCUGUUUUGAAAUGCCAAUACGGACCAAUUUUUUUUUUUUUUUGCUUUUAGUUUCUAAAGCAAAUGUUAUAAAAAUUUGAAGUCUAUAAGUGCCACUAUGUACAUCUCUAAAACAUUCAGGACAGGAACAUGCAGAGAGAGUUCUUCUGGUCCAGGGAACAGAUAGAGUGUGAAGGAAGUAUCGCAAUUGCUUGCUAGCCUAAGCCUGCAUGAGCUGUCUCAGAUAAUGAAACAUCAGUCAUACAAUUAAAAAAUUAAAAGAAAAGCUAGCAAGCUUCAAGGCUUCUUGAAGCUUGCUGAAAUUUUGCAACCUUCAGUCUUUCCCAAUCAAUGAAAGUAGAUACACAGAAAAAUCUCACAAGGCCGUACAGUUGGCUGACGUUAAUUCAAUCCACCUCAUAUUUUUGUUUAAAUUAGUAUUCAGAGUUCAGAAAACAUGGUCCAAAAUAGAACUAGAAGUUACUACAUGGAAAGAGAUGGACAUGAAAUAAUUUAAUGCGACUAAUUGCAUAGCCCUGAAUGAAAUGAAAUCAAUUAGGAGGUUUGACAUCCCAAACCAACACACAGGUAAUGAGAAACACCGAAGUUGAGGGCCCUAGAGCGUUCAUUAACGCACACUAAAUACAUAAGCAUUAUUGUAUUCUGCCAUUAUAGGAAUGUGGAUGCCGCAACUGGGAACUGAACCCGUGACAUUAUGUUCAGCAUAAUAAUUCCACAGAACUGAAUGAAAUGCAAUGUAGACGAAACUAAUGGAUAUGUAAUAGAAGAGAAGAUAGAUUCAGUUCCUGUGAACACAUACCGAGGAUAUUGAAUAACCAACCGCCACAGCAACUUAGGCACUGAGGCAUGAAUAAAUUUUGCUACCUUUGCGUUACGAAUAUUCCCUUGUCAAUAAUAUUUGGCUAUGUUGCCUGGGCCUGGAAAGCCAAGAGGUUUGAACUGACUGUACUAACUGAAUGCUUUGCUGAAUUAAGUGGCUUCAGAAUGCACUGAAAACAUAGUGGUUUGAACAUUGGCCGAGUUGGUUCAUAACUAAGAAGGAUAAAACAGUCGCACUAUAUUUAAAUUGAUCAGAAUUUCUCUCACUCCGAGAUUGAACUAUCACAAGCCAGAGCCUCCUGAAAUGAUAUUGGCUGCUUGCUAGCAGUGUAGUCAGUAGGUUAUAAUUGUUUAAGUGCCUUUACAUGCUACAACAGGUGCCUGUAGAAAAGGGAAAGGUUUGUGACAGACUCAAAAGAACCGUGUAGUUGAAUCAAGUGCCUUGCACAAAAAAAACUCUCCCUGCAUGCGUGAAGGUGGGCACAUGUGCAUGACGGUCAGUAGCGUUAAUGAAAGCUGGUGAAACUAGCAUGCAAGCCAGCUAAAACGAUGAAGUUCUAAUUAUCUUUAGCAAGCUUUCAAACUUACAUAUUUUGGAAUAAUAAAACUUCUUUCUUGUGAAUAAGCUGUAACACUGUUAAAAAUAAUGACCAGAUUAAAAAGGCUGUGCACAAGCAAACAAUAAUGUUUCCAAACUACUGUGAACGCUGAGGUCGUACUUGAUUUUGCCUUGUAGAGGGAUAAAAAUACAAAUUUUAACUGUCUCCUUCAUAUUCUACACGAGGAAAGCAUUAAAUGAAAAAAAGAGUGCAUCAACAGGUCAUUAAAAAAAGGAGAAAUUAUAUAAAAUGUGAAAUGCUAUGAAGCUUACACCAAACAAGUUCAGUCUGCCUGCAAAUUCCGAGAUAAUUUUAUUUUUGUUAGCGACACCAUCAGUGUCUAUGCCUUUGAGCAUCUAGCCACUGGCUCACUACUAAGCUUGACAUUCUAUCAAUUCUAGUAAAAAUUAUAAAUUUGAAUAAAUACAAAAUAAAUAAAUACUAAAUAAAUACUAAAUAAAUACUCCAAUAAAUUGGAAAUGAUCAAAUUUCAGAGUAUGUCAAAUUAGCUGAAGUAAGGCACUGAUAAAAUGAAACGGUAUAAAUUGCAACCGUGCAAACACAAAUAUAACAAGCAGUUAUUACAGACGUGUACACACAGCAUUAUUACAAACACAUUAGUACUUGGCAAUGGCGUUAUGAGAACAAUACUUGCAAAAAGAAUUUUUUUAAUGGGGCCAAGGAACAGAUUUUCACAUCUGCUGCUCCAUGAACAAAGACAGGAGCAGUAAAAAAUACAAAAUACUUCACUGCCUGAAUUCUGCCCUAGCUGAGAGCCAAUAUAUUCUGCAAACAUUGUAACGAACUCAUUUCUUUUACAAAACUGACACUCCCCAUAACAUCUAUAUCCAAUGAACAACUUUCAUCACUGCUGCUACAUUCACAAAGGCCAAAGCAGAGCUUAUUCAUAAUUGAACCUCGGUGGAUAUAAAGAAUUAUUGGAUGUAACAAAUUAUUGGCUUUAAAAAAGUAUAGGAUUUUCCAAGCUGAUAUCAACACAUAAUGAAUAUAUGCUUACAACGAGUAUGGGAUAUAACGAAGCUAUUUUAGUGCAGGAUGCAACUUUGUUAAAACAAGGUUUAACAUACACGUUUUUACAGGCGAUCGCAUUGAACAUAUGGUGUUACUGGACAUUCAGGUUGUAAGGCAAUCUUUUUUUUAUAUGUAAGUAUUUUGACAGUUAUGCUUUUUGCCUACCUAUUAAAAGCAAGGUUUGAUUCUUAACUAAUAGGAAUGCUUCUAAAUAGACAAAGAAGCUUGCAGCUUCGACAAAAAAUAAAUAUGCUUCAGCUUUCUGAAAAAGUGCUGCAGGUUAAAAAAUACUGUCGCAUAUUUCUUAGACAUGCUUCCACAAAGUCAUAACUAUUUAAAUUUUUUGUUAACUGCCUUGACAACAUUGCUGGAGCAGUAAAAAAUAUAAAAGUGGAAGUGAAGAGUACAAUAAUGUGUACAAAGAGACAGAAGCAACUGAAUUAUUAGCAACUGAAAUGCGAGCAUAUGUAGCCCAGCUCCAUCACAGCCACAUGUAAAACAAAAACAAAAAAUGUGUGCAUUUACUUGAAAUGCCUCACGAAGGUCACUGGUAAACAGGUGUGUUCAAUGCGAGACUUAUGAGGCAGUUCACAGUGCUGACUUAAUCCAGCACACAAUGCUACAUCGUAACCACUGCUCGCAGUGCCAAAAACCAAACUAACUAUAAUGUCAUAUAAUGGCAGAAAUCUGUCCACUUCUGCUACACUCUGUCUUACUGGUUAUGUGUGACACAUGUCAGAUGACAUCACACAAUCACAGUCCUAUGAGAACACAAGCCUGAUGCCCUGCUUAAAAAAAAAAAUGAUACACUAAAAAAAAAGUUAUGUGAUAAAGAGUGUAUAUAGUAUUCUGCUAAAUUCCGCUGUAUAGUUUUACAAGACAUUACAACUUAAAGACAGUGUGUAAUGCUAUGAGCAUAGCUUCUUUGCUAGGCAAUGUUCACGGUGAUCACAGUACUAAACCUGAUAAUAUGCAAUACACAUGCAUUACAAUCUCACAGGUAAAGCAUUUUGCCAGUUAAGAACAAGAGUGAAGUCAAACCUGACAAAUAAAUAGCUGAUCCAAAGUUAUCUUCAAAUGAGCAAACUGAAGGGUACUGCAUCAGUCAAAAAGCAGUUUGUGUUUAAAAACAGCUUUGAGGGUAUGCCAAGUUUCUGAAGCUACGGGGCUGGGUAGCAGUUAAACGGAAAAUCUACAAUGGGAGGACACCAUGCGAGGUCAGUGAGGUAUGACCCACCAAAAUGAACAACGGUGGACGCAGUGACUAAGGGAAGUUGCUUUAAGCAUUAUGUGCUUUAGACCAGCCCUGACAGAUUACAUUUUAACUCAUGCCCAACAUCUGUUGUUAGCAGGAGAAUAGCGUUUUAGUGUGUCCGAUGUUCCGGCAAACUCGGGUGGAUUGCUGGAUUGGACCCGUAAGCAGCCAGAGUGGUGCCCAGCCACCUGGUGGCACAAAGCUCAACCAAACAAAUGCAGAUCUAAGCAUAUUCUUCCUAGCUGCUGGUGUAAAAUUUUCAACAGCAGCAUAAUCGUGUUCACGAUUAUGCCAGCAGCGUAAUUAGUACCAGCUGCGAAGCAGAAUACUAUACUUGAUGGUUACUACAAUAUUAGCUCUGCGUUUCUUCUGGUUGAGCUUUGCAUCACCAGGUGGUGCCGUCAAUCUGGCUACUCAUGUUUACGCCCCCACUUAUCCGGCAAACCGCCGUUUGCACGAAUACCGGACACACUAAAACUCUCAAAUGACACCUGCUGUUUUCAGUUCAUUGAAAAUCAGUCUAAAUAUGCUGCUGACUGUUUUAACAAAAUAUGUGAAGGCUUCCGAAGUAAGAGAACAGCCGGGUCAUGGACCAGCAAUUUUAGUAAUGUCUAUCCUUCAAGUUAUGGUGCUGCAAACUUGUAGAUAUGAGUAGUUUUAUGUGCUUAUUUCAAAUGUGUGAGUCUAAUUUUGUUUAUCUCACUUGGUUCUAAUUUUAUGCAAGUUUCUCUUAAUUUUUUUGGAAAAGCUUGCAAAGAAUCAGUUGCUCAGAUUUCAGUAAAUAGGAUAGCAAUGGCUUUUGCGCGAUUCAAGGAAUCCAAUAAGACCAACUUUAUUGCUCUGGCUGCCUUAGAACAAGAGUUGUGGUUGACACUCGGAAGGCCGUUUUUCUGAAAGUCAACUUCAAAGUCUGCUUCAGUUCAUACGAGAGAGACUGACACAGCCAUGAAUAGUCGUAUUGAAUACAAGACUACGAUUAUAGUCCACUUCUUGUGCAAACAUUUUUGCACACAAAUUUAAGCCACGACUUUGACCUCGUUCUCAACUGUCAAAAUGCCUAGAAGCCUUGCAGCAAGAGACCAAAUAUACCGUGAAUACAGGAAGAUUGUUAGUGACAAAAACAGAGGCAUCAUUGAGAAUAGCAACACAUGUGCAGAAACGUGUGGUGAAACUGCUACAGAGCAUAAGGGUCUGCCCACCACAAACCGUUUCUAUGGUUGGCUGGGAGAGAGAGAGAGAAUGUGUGGAAGUAGAGAAACACAUAAAGAUGGAAAUACCCACACGCACACACAGGCAAAACACAAGGGAGGCAUCAGAGCACGGUAGUAAAAAAAUUAAAGAGAGAGAAGCCUCUGUACACCGAACUAUAAGCUGAAGCUAUGACCAUGUUAGUGUGCUUUCAAAAUGCAAUAAGGAAGGCAGUGAUCCCGGGCAUAUACAUCCUGCCCGACUUCAACCACAGUACCCUUGACAAAUAGCUGCUUGGUCUCACGACCACAGCAGUGACGCACAGAGCCAGCGGUAGGGAUGACAUGGUUUCAUUUCAUUCGGGGGAACUGUUCACCACCGAGCUAAGGAAGGAGAAAGGCCAAGCACAGAUGAUCGUAACUGUUAUCACCAACAGCUGCACGUGUGGGCACAUAAAAAUAAAGUGGCCUGCGUUUAAGUGCAAUCGCACCACGCAGUCUUCCCAUACUGCCCCUGACCCCCAUUGCUUCCCAGCACAACACCCCACGCUCUCAAGCCAGUCUCGUUAACCCCAGAGCCUCGCAACAAUUUUGCAGAGGCUUGGUGGUAGUGCAGCGACAUGGGACAGGACGGUGGUGCGUCCGACUGAAUUGUCAACGCACUAGGAAAACAAAAACCACACAGCAAUGCAAGGUGGCUUUAGGCCCAAACAAAAGGAGGAGAGUGCAUACACACCAGGGCCAAACAGCACACCUAAAAAAAGAAUACAGCAUGAACCUCUAAGGACGCAUUCCUGAACGCACACACACACAUGCACACACACAUAUGCUAGCACACGCACACACACCCACAGAUAGGGACAAGAUGCAAAAUGGCCAACUGCAUCAGCCUUCACACGUGUGCACACACCUGAAAACAAACUGGAAACAACUACACACUACAGCAGAGUUUUGCAGAGAAACCAAUAGGUGGCGACAAGCAAGCACUGGCCUUUAUAAACGAUGGCAGACACUAGGCGAGCGCUAGCAUAAACUGUGCAGAUGAGAGCGCUUCCUCAGUGUGUUCCAAGAAUCGUACCAUCGAUUACAAUCCCGUACAUGUCACCUACUGCACAUGGGGCGGGAAUGCUACGUAACUAUCCCCACAAUGCAUAGUUCAGACAUGCUGACACAACUGCACAGCAAACAACCAUGCAGGGUCCCCAAAAUUCGUAAGCACAGAGGAGACCAUCAAAAGUGCUUCUAAUGGCACAAUGCCUCCAUUAACACACUGUGUCAGUUCAUGGGUUAGUGUUAAGUUGUUUGAGACAUUUAGCCUUUUCUUUUCUUAGUUAUCGUUUUUUUUUUUAAUGCAAAUUCAUAUGCACUAGUUCAUUGCUGGCACAUUUCUUGUGCAUAUUCCUUUCAACAGGGCAUAGCCUUGUUAAUGUAAAAUCCAAUACUAGUAUAUUGAAUGGACAGCAGUAGAAGAAAAGGAAGCCUAACGCUGAGGCGAGUCAUCAACAUAACACCUCAUUUCCUCAAAUGAAGGUUUAAGCAAUUACAUUACAAGCAACUGUUCAAUAGCAUGCGCCAGCUAAAACACGAUUUAAGAAUUGAUUCAGAUACUUUAAAACGAGCAAGGACAGCAAGAAGCUGCAGAAAAGUGCAGAUCUAUUUCAGCACCAGCUGGCCGUGACUGACACACUAAGCUGGCAGAUUCUAUCUAUGAUGAAUAAAAAAUUUAAUAAGCUACAAAGAAAA